rnacentral:rRNA from 1 species
GUGACUGCGUACCUUUUGUAUAAUGGGUCAGCGACUUAUAUUCUGUAGCAAGGUUAACCGUAUAGGGGAGCCGGAGGGAAACCGAGUCUUAAYCGGGCGUUAAGUUGCAGGGUAUAGACCCGAAACCCGGUGAUCUAGCCAUGGGCAGGUUGAAGGUUGGGUAACACUAACUGGAGGACCGAACCGACUAAUGUUGAAAAAUUAGCGGAUGACCUGUGGCUGGGGGUGAAAGGCCAAUCAAACCGGGAGAUAGCUGGUUCUCCCCGAAAGCUAUUUAGGUAGCGCCUCGUGAAUUCAUCUCCGGGGGUAGAGCACUGUUUCGGCUAGGGGGCCAUCCCGGCUUACCAACCCGAUGCAAACUGCGAAUACCGGAGAAUGUUAUCACGGGAGACACACGGCGGGUGCUAACGUCCGUCGUGAAGAGGGAAACAACCCAGACCGCCAGCUAAGGUCCCAAAGUCAUGGUUAAGUGGGAAACGAUGUGGGAAGGCCCAGACAGCCAGGAUGUUGGCUUAGAAGCAGCCAUCAUUUAAAGAAAGCGUAAUAGCUCACUGGUCGAGUCGGCCUGCGCGGAAGAUGUAACGGGGCUAAACCAUGCACCGAAGCUGCGGCAGCGAACGUAUCACCCAAGACAACUUUACGGAGUUGACGAUUGACGGAGCGAAGCGACGUCAAAGCGUUCAUUAAAGUCGAGUUGGCUUAGGGAUACGUUCGUUGGGUAGGGGAGCGUUCUGUAAGCCUGUGAAGGUGUGUCGUGAGGCAUGCUGGAGGUAUCAGAAGUGCGAAUGCUGACAUAAGUAACGAUAAAGCGGGUGAAAAGCCCGCUCGCCGGAAGACCAAGGGUUCCUGUCCAACGUUAAUCGGGGCAGGGUGAGUCGACCCCUAAGGCGAGGCCGAAAGGCGUAGUCGAUGGGAAACGGGUUAAUAUUCCCGUACUUGGUGUUACUGCGAAGGGGGGACGGAGAAGGCUAUGUUGGCCGGGCGACGGUUGUCCCGGUUUAAGCGUGUAGGUGUGUGUUCCAGGUAAAUCCGGUUCACUUUAACACUGAGGCGUGACGACGAGGCACUACGGUGCUGAAGCAACAAAUGCCCUGCUUCCAGGAAAAGCCUCUAAGCAUCAGGUAACAYSAAAUCGUACCCCAAACCGACACAGGUGGUCAGGUAGAGAAUACCAAGGCGCUUGAGAGAACUCGGGUGAAGGAACUAGGCAAAAUGGUGCCGUAACUUCGGGAGAAGGCACGCUGACACGUAGGUGAAGUGAUUUACUCAYGGAGCUGAAGUCAGUCGAAGAUACCAGCUGGCUGCAACUGUUUAUUAAAAACACAGCACUGUGCAAACACGAAAGUGGACGUAUACGGUGUGACGCCUGCCCGGUGCCGGAAGGUUAAUUGAUGGGGUCAGCGCAAGCGAAGCUCCUGAUCGAAGCCCCGGUAAACGGCGGCCGUAACUAUAACGGUCCUAAGGUAGCGAAAUUCCUUGUCGGGUAAGUUCCGACCUGCACGAAUGGCGUAAUGAUGGCCAGGCUGUCUCCACCCGAGACUCAGUGAAAUUGAACUCGCUGUGAAGAUGCAGUGUACCCGCGGCAAGACGGAAAGACCCCGUGAACCUUUACUAUAGCUUGACACUGAACAUUGAGCCUUGAUGUGUAGGAUAGGUGGGAGGCUUUGAAGUGUGGACGCCAGUCUGCAUGGAGCCGACCUUGAAAUACCACCCUUUAAUGUUUGAUGUUCUAACGUGGACCCGUWAYCCGGGUUGCGGACAGUGUCUGGUGGGUAGUUUGACUGGGGCGGUCUCCUCCUAAAGAGUAACGGAGGAGCACGAAGGUUGGCUAAUCCUGGUCGGACAUCAGGAGGUUAGUGCAAUGGCAUAAGCCAGCUUGACUGCGAGCGUGACGGCGCGAGCAGGUGCGAAAGCAGGUCAUAGUGAUCCGGUGGUUCUGAAUGGAAGGGCCAUCGCUCAACGGAUAAAAGGUACUCCGGGGAUAACAGGCUGAUACCGCCCAAGAGUUCAUAUCGACGGCGGUGUUUGGCACCUCGAUGUCGGCUCAUCACAUCCUGGGGCUGAAGUAGGUCCCAAGGGUAUGGCUGUUCGCCAUUUAAAGUGGUACGCGAGCUGGGUUUAGAACGUCGUGAGACAGUUCGGUCCCUAUCUGCCGUGGGCGCUGGAGAACUGAGGGGGGCUGCUCCUAGUACGAGAGGACCGGAGUGGACGCAUCACUGGUGUUCGGGUUGUCAUGCCAAUGGCACUGCCCGGUAGCUAAAUGCGGAAGAGAUAAGUGCUGAAAGCAUCUAAGCACGAAACUUGCCCCGAGAUGAGUUCUCCCUGAGACUUAGAGUCUCCUGAAGGAACGUUGAAGACGACGACGUUGAUAGGCCGGGUGUGUAAGCGCAGCGAUGCGUUGAGCUAACCGGUACUAAUGAACCGUGAGGCUUAACCUU